ACAACGAAUGUUGUUCCCAAGCACGAAUAAAGUGGAUAGGCAUAAACAAAUUAAAAUUUUCACUACCUUUGUUACAUUGGUUCAACAGUACAAGCAUAGGAAAAAGAUAAGAAGAAGGGGGAAAUAUGGCAUGAACAAUAAAGGGAAAAAAGUUGGACAUGCAGGCGAAAGAUGGCAACAGCUAUAGAGGACAAAGACGAUGUGUUGGUCGUCCUUGAUUUUCACUAUUAUGGAUGUGUCUUCUGGAGGAUAAAGUCAGUGCAGAUCAAAUCUGGCGACGAGAGAUCAGAUCCAUUCCCAGAUUGAAUCAACAACAACACCGAGUUGCUCUUUGCGUAGCUGGACAUCAACCUGCGACAUGAAUCUGGCAGUAAACAGAGAAAUGGAGGGUGUCUUUGCUUUAAAAGUAGCUAGACAUCAGCCAGCAGAAGCAACACGGAAGUCAACAUAGAAAGGAAGGGAAGAAGAAAUGGGACAAGGGUGUUGGCGCCGCCUCUCCUCGCAGCGCCGCUUCUUCUUCCUCCUGAGCUGCCUCUCACAACUCAAUCUCCAUCUCUCUUUGUCUCUCUCAAGAACACACACUACACGGUCAUGGUGAAACUCCACACACACACACACGCAUACACCAAAGAGAAGACAGCCGCUGCUUUGCCAAGAGGGUCUGCUCCUUGGUGAACACUAGUGCUACAUCUUGCCACUUGUGCCCUCACGGCCUCUCCUUUUGAUUACUCAAAGCAACACAUUUAUACAGGAGGGGCUGGCACUCUUGCCGUGCAAAACUCACGCCACUAUCUAGACCCACUACUCCACUAAACUCUCCAUGCACUAACCAUGUACUAACUGACCUUAUCUUAAUCCUGGAAUCUCUCCAGGAGCCAUGACUUGGCCUCAAAUGCACACUACAUGCAGCUAACAAACUCACAUGCAUGCAAACUGACUCAACCUGUUCACUCGGAUCACGCAUGUGUAGACGUUGGCUCCAGGGCUCUUUCACACAGGUUGUCACGCUGCACUUCCCUCGUACCAUGUCGCUUCACACGAAGUUGCUGCAUCGCACAGCCCCAUGGCAUCACACCUUGCACACCGGCCGCGUCGCACGACCAGUUCGGCAUCUCGCCUUUCUACGACUCAAAGUGAACCUUCACCUGCCUAUCACUCCCUAGGCCAUCUAAGUCACAUGCAUGACAAAAAACAAACUAAGUAUGCAGAUACAAAUCAAGAUUAGAGCUAACAUUUUCCCCCUUAAUCUUGAUUCUUCAAUCUUCACGCGGCUUCACCCGCUGCCACUUGGCGACGCCAUCGCGGCGCUGCAGCCGGCCACUCGCCGCCACCGACGCCGUCACAGCGCCGGUCACCAUGGACCAUCUUGUCGUCGAUGACGUCCUCGCGACGCCAAUCACCGUGCCGUCUUGCCGGCGCCAAGUACCACGACCUCCUGCCACAUGCAGCAACCAUCUCUUGACGUGGAUGGCUGCGCCAAUCGCCACGCCGUCAACAUCUUGCGGCAUCGCACCGCAACCGGCCACCAGCGGCAUCACGCCACCGACAGCCUCCACCUUGCGCCGCCGUCCUCCACCUCACAUGGAGUAGGCCGCGCCGCCGUCGUCGCCUCGGAUCGACAAGGCUCUGAUACCAAUUGUUGGCGCCGCCUCUCCUCGCAGCGCCGCUUCUUCUUCCUCCUGAGCUGCCUCUCACAACUCAAUCUCCAUCUCUCUUUGUCUCUCUCAAGAACACACACUACACGGUCAUGGUGAAACUCCACACACACACACACGCAUACACCAAAGAGAAGACAGCCGCUGCUUUGCCAAGAGGGUCUGCUCCUUGGUGAACACUAGUGCUACAUCUUGCCACUUGUGCCCUCACGGCCUCUCCUUUUGAUUACUCAAAGCAACACAUUUAUACAGCAGGGGCUGGCACUCUUGCCGUGCAAAACUCACGCCACUAUCUAGACCCACUACUCCACUAAACUCUCCAUGCAGUAACCAUGUACUAACUGACCUUAUCUUAAUCCUGGAAUCUCUCCAGGAGCCAUGACUUGGCCUCAAAUGCACACUACAUGCAGCUAACAAACUCACAUGCAUGCAAACUGACUCAACCUGUUCACUCGGAUCACGCAUGUGUAGACGUUGGCUCCAGGGCUCUUUCACACAGGUUGUCACGCUGCACUUCCCUCGUACCAUGUUGCUUCACACGAAGUUGCUGCAUCGCACAGCCCCAUGGCAUCACACCUUGCACACCGGCCGCGUCGCACGACCAGUUCGGCAUCUCGCCUUUCUACGACUCAAAGUGAACCUUCACCUGCCUAUCACUCCCUAGGCCAUCUAAGUCACAUGCAUGACAAAAAACAAACUAAGUAUGCAGAUACAAAUCAAGAUUAGAG
rnacentral:lncRNA from 1 species